rnacentral:rRNA from 1 species
CUACGGGUGGCUGCAGUGGGGAAUAUUGCACAAUGGAGGAAACUCUGAUGCAGCAACGCCGCGUGGAGGAUGACACUUUUCGGAGCGUAAACUCCUUUUAUAUAGGAAGAAGAUGACGGUACUAUAUGAAUAAGCGCCGGCUAACUCCGUGCCAGCAGCCGCGGUAAUACGGGGGGCGCAAGCGUUACUCGGAAUCACUGGGCGUAAAGGGCGUGUAGGCGGAUUAAAAAGUCAGAAGUGAGAUCCUAUAGCUUAACUAUAGAACUGCUUCUGAAACUCUUAAUCUAGAAUAUGGGAGAGGUAGAUGGAAUUUCUGGUGUAGGGGUAAAAUCCGUAGAGAUCAGAAGGAAUACCGAUUGCGAAGGCGAUCUACUAGAACAUUAUUGACGCUGAGACGCGAAAGCGUGGGGAGCAAACAGGAUUAGAUACCCGUGUAGUC